ensembl:snRNA U6 U6 spliceosomal RNA
GUUCUGCUUUGGCAGUGUAUAUAUUAAAUUUGAAUGAUACAGAGAAGAUUAGCAUAGCCUGUUCCAAGGAUGACACACAAAUUCAUAAAGCACUCCUUUA